GAUGAACGCUGGCGGCGUGCCUAAUACAUGCAAGUCGAGCGAACAGACGAGGAGCUUGCUCCUCUGACGUUAGCGGCGGACGGGUGAGUAACACGUGGAUAACCUCCCUAUAAGACUGGGAUAACUUCGGGAAACCGGCGCUAAUACCGUAUAAUAUAUUGAACCGCAUGGUUCAAUAGUGAAAGACGGUUUUGCUGUCACUUAUAGAUGGAUCCGCGCCGCAUUAGCUAGUUGGUAAGGUAACGGCUUACCAAGGCGACGAUGCGUAGCCGACCUGAGAGGGUGAUCGGCCACACUGGAACUGAGACACGGUCCAGACUCCUAAGGGAGGAAGCAGUAGGGAAUCUUCCGCAAUGGGCGAAAGCAUGACGGAGCAACGCCGCGUGAGUGAUGAAGGUCUUCGGAUCGUAAAACUCUGUUAUUAGGGAAGAACAAAUGUGUAAGUAACUAUGCACGUCUUGACGGUACCUAAUCAGAAAGCCACGGCUAACUACGUG
rnacentral:rRNA from 1 species